CUUAGGACCGUUAUAGUUACGGCCGCCGUUUACUGGGGCUUCAGUUCAGAGCUUCGCUUACGCUAACCCCUCUCCUUAACCUUCCAGCACCGGGCAGGUGUCAGCCCCUAUACUUCGCCUUACGGCUUCGCAGAGACCUGUGUUUUUGCUAAACAGUCGCUUGGGCCUAUUCGCUGCGGCUUUCCGUUAAGAAAGCACCCCUUCUCCCGAAGUUACGGGGUCAUUUUGGCGAGUUCCUUAACCAGAGUUCUCUCGCACACCUUAGGAUUCUCUCCUCGCCUACCUGUGUCGGCU
rnacentral:rRNA from 1 species